UACGGGGGGUGCAAGCGUUAAUCGGAGUUAUUGGGCGUAAAGGGUGCGUAGGUGGUUCAUUAAGUCAUGUGGGAAAUUCCUGGGCUCAACCUAGGAAUGUCGGAUGAUACUGGUGGACUUGAGUAUAGUAGAGGGUAGUGGAAUUUCCGGUGUAGCGGUGAAAUGCGUAGAGAUCGGAAGGAACACCAGUGGCGAAGGCGGCUACCUGGACUAAUACUGACACUGAGGCACGAAAGCGUGGGGAGCAAACAGG
rnacentral:misc_RNA from 1 species